rnacentral:rRNA from 1 species
UACAUGGGGUGCAAACGUUGCUCGGAAUUAUUGGGCGUAAAGCGCACGUAGGCGGUUUGUUAAGUCGGAUGUGAAAUCCCUCGGCUCAACUGAGGAAGUGCAUCCGAAACUGGCAAGCUUGAGUACGAAAGAGGGUCGCGGAAUUCCCAGUGUAGAGGUGAAAUUCGUAGAUAUCGGGAGGAACACCGGUGGCGAAGGCGGCGACCUGGGUCGAUACUGACGCUGAGGUGCGAAAGCGUGGGGAGCAAACAGG